UGAAGACUCCAAGUUUGGUUCUUUCAGCUUUUGCCAUUCCAUUCGGAGCGACGACGGAGACGGAAACCGGGAGAGGGCGGAACGAUAUAUUCCGCAUCACCCCUUCUCCUUAAUCCCCAUCGCCGGAGAUAUCUUCUACCAGAUUCUCCUCUCCAUCAACUGCGAUUUCUGACUGAAGAUUUGUCCUUGUUGAUACAAGAUGCCUCGGGAUUUAUCACGAUCUCGAUCACCUUCGUGUAGGCGGAGGCAUUCACCAUCUCCCUUAGGGCAUAGGUAUACCAGGAGAAGUCGAAGAGACAGGAGCCGUUCACCGUAUUCAUCGUACAGCAGGUGAUCCUGUUUAUGUUUUUAGUUUUAUUUACUUUUGAUUAAUCGAUUGAAUAAUCUCUAACGAAUUAAGAAAAGAUUGAUUUUUCCACGCGGUUUGUAUUUCACUGACAUCGGAGUUUCUGCAUGAACCUUGCUCCUUUUG
rnacentral:misc_RNA from 1 species